GAGUUCUCUUAGAAGAUGUGGUUGUAGAUGCAAGGAGAAAUGAGGUCUUUCUAGAGAAAGAGCAGGGGCAGACUGCUUAUCAGAGAUGCCAUGCCAGGCUCAGGGAGAGCUGUUCCCAGCCCGAGAGCAGGAAGAGCAGCUCAGGCAGCAGGUGGAAGAGCCAUAGCAGAAUGGCCAGAACAUCAAGGCAGAGCCACAAGCAGAGCUGCCCGAAGCUCAGAGUGCCAUCAUGGCAGUGAAGAGAAAGAACAAGGAAGACAUGAGAAGAAUUCAAGAGGAGAUGAAUCUCCAUCAGCACAGGGGCGAUCAACAAAACCAGGUGAGAGAAAGAGUGGCAGCCACUCCACUCAUGAAACUUCCUCUCCAUUGUUGUUUACAAACCAUCAAGGAAGAUGUGCAGGCAGAGCUGCAGGAAUCUGAGGCUAGGAACAAGGCAAGGGAGAAGAGGCUGGAAGAAGAAAUGAAAAUCAUCAGAGAGAAAGUUAAUCACCUCCCUCAGGCUCUACAAAAGCAAGUGAGUGAAGGAGGGACAGCCACUGCAGUCACCAAACUGAUGCUUUCUGCCCUUCUUGCCUUUCAGUGCAGAGCAGCAGGGAGUGGGGCCAUGCCUCUGAGUGCCAUCCUGCUCUAGUAUAUAUCACAGUCACUCUGAAGGACAUUUCCUGCUGGAUCUCAAGUGCUGCCCUGGACAGUGGGACUUGUUCUUUGGCUUUUGGCCAGCAAUCAUCCAAAUUGAUUCCUGCUGGCAUGUUCCUGCUCUCUCUGUUUCUUUACAGGGGAACAUGGUGACCCAGAGGAGGAUUGAAACAAGCUGUCUGUAUCCCUUGUAUAUCUGUUCUUUCCCUUUGCUCACAGUCAAUGA